rnacentral:rRNA from 1 species
GACGAACGCUGGCGGCGUGCUUAACACAUGCAAGUCGAACGAAGUGGCGAACGGGUGAGUAACGCGUAAUCAACCUGCCCUUCAGAGGGGGACAACAGUUGGAAAUGACUGCUAAUACCUACUACUGUAGGUGGUGAUUGCGUCUGAUUCGCUAGUUGGAGGGGUAACGGCCCACCAGGGCGAUGAUCAGUAGCCGGUCUGAGAGGAUGAACGGCCACAGUGGGACUGAGACACGGCCCAGACUCCUACGGGAGGCAGCAGUGGGGAAUCUUCCGCAAUGGACGAAAGGCUGACGGAGCAACGCCGCGGGAGUGAUGACGGCCUUCGGGUUGUAAAGCUCUGUUAAUCGGGACGCGGUACCGGAAUAGAAAGCCACGGCUAACUACGUGCCAGCAGCCGCGGUAAUUC